CCUCCUCCGACGCCGCCACCGCUGCUCCUGGCGCGGGCAUUGCAUCGGCGGCCGCGUGGGCGCGAUGGGCGUGCGGCGCUGGCUGCUGUUGCUGUUGCUGCUGCUGCUGCUGCUGUGCCUGGCGCUCGGCUCGGCCUCCGGAGGUCCAGUCUCUGAAGCAAGUGAUGGGAAGGAGCUCCUGGAAGGACAGGACGUGAACAUGGCACACCCCAAAGUGGUCCGGAGUGUUGGGGGGCACCGGCACAAUGCCUGGCGGAGGUAUCGCCGUCCUCGCCCUCGUCUUUCACAUAAAGGACCCAUGCCUUUCUAGCACAGGAUGAAGGACUGCCUGGGAAUGACCCGCCCUGUUGUGUCCUCUCUGCUUGAUCGACUUUGCUUGCGAAGGGCUUCCAUCCAUGGCAGAGUUUGAACCAGAGCUGCCUGACCCGGGAAGCCCCAAGAGCGGGAGGGAAAGAGCCUGCGGAUCCAGCAUUUCCACCUUCUAUGGUCUCAUGGUGCCUCCUGCUCCAGCUGGUGACACUUCUGUGGCUCUCUCUCUCUCUCUCUCUCUCUCUUCCCACCAGCAGGCAAAGCUGAAAAGGAUGCAAGGAGGACCCAGAAGGUGGCUCUGAGUGUAGACAGGAAGGAAGGAAGGAAGGAAGGAAGGAAGGAAGGAAGGAAGGAAGGAAAGGAAGGAAAGAAGGAAGGAAGGAAGGAAGGAAGGAAGGAAGGAAGGCGUAGCAUCGGCUCUCUGCCUCUUGGCCACGGAAGCUAAGUGGCGGCUGAGAGAACACCCUCAUGUCCCCUCCUAGCUGGUUGCAAGGCCUUCUUCCACCAGUGGCGCCCUUGGAGUCCAAGGUCGUUUGGCCAGUGAAAAGCACUUUUGAUAGCUCAUCAGCAGCCCCUCCCAGGCCCCCCCUGACCUGCCCCCUUUUGCAUUCCUCCCAUCACAGCAUUCCCAAGAGCAGAGUUUCCACAACAGCCCCCAAUGCGUUCAACCCCGACGGCUGUAUCACCCUUUAGAUGCUUAAGCUGAGCUGCUACGUUUCUGUCUGCCCCGCAAGACUUAGGAGACCCGCUGGCAGCGGGUGGGUGGGAAAUGAGAACAGACCACAAUUGGGGUGUGCUGCAUCCUCCUGCCCUUGACCUUCUGCGGGACAUCUUGAGAGCCUCCAAUCUAGCCUUUUUCAGGGUGAAACAGACUUAGGGACUUCCUGCCCAGCGUCUCUUUAAACAAAACAAACAAACAAAACCCACGUGCUACUUUCUAAAACGUCUUCCCUGCACAAGAUCAUCCGUCCUUUUCCCCACCUCCCCAAAAAACCUAAGUUUUGCCCAACUUAGAUGGGCCCCGUUUCUUAUAGUCUUCUCCACCCUUACAGGAACCAGGCCUGGCUAAUUUAGGGAAGAGAUGGACCAGGGGAGACAGGAGAGCAGUGUUCCAAUAUUUGAGGGGUGCCACAGAGAGGAGGAAGG